rnacentral:lncRNA from 10 species
GACCGUGCAGCAGGAUGGCAUGUGGGAUGGGAGCUUUGACAUAACCAGGUUCUGCCACUCAAAGCUGUGUGGCCUUUUCUAUACCGCAACACAUUGUUCCUUGAACUAACUGGGCAUGGCACCCUCCUUAGAGGCUUGGGGUUAAGUAGAAUCACCCGUUCAGCCAUGCUUCUGGCCACCAGCCUCCCUUGGCAAGGACAGAACCCUGUUAUUGGGAGCUGGAAUGGUGAGGUACCCCGGGGGAUGGCAGACCCUCAGCCUGCCCACUCCCCUCUCUGCCCCCCUACCCACAGUCCAAGGAUGGGGGCUGGAAACCUCUCAGAGGUGGGAGGCCGCUGGCUGGGGUCCAGCUUUCUGGCAGCCCCUUGGCAGGAGAGGAAGGUGAGCCCCCUGGCUCAACACCCUGACCUCUGAGGUUGUCCAGGCCCUUCUGGAAGCAGAGCCCCUUCAGCAUUACUUUGGGAGGCCCUGACCCUGGGCCUCCCCACCUUCACAAGAACCCCUCGCACCUCACGAGGCAGCCCCAGGCCCUCUCUGCCCUGCCACUGAGCUUUCGGCAGACAUGGUGCCCCAGCCUAGAUACUGCCCUCAGCGGGAUCCAAGAGAAACCACAGGCUCCUGGCAAACCCCCACCUCCCAGCCUCGCCCAUGUUGCCCUGGACUGUCGUCAUGGCACUUGCCCUGAGACCAUCUGGGCCGACCCUCUUCUGCCUUUUAUCUCACGAGCACUCCCGUGCCCUCCCCCCAACUCACUGUGCGUUCUGAAACUCAUCGUCUGUUGUCAGCAAAAUUCCUGUGAUUCCAUCUUCUCGGAAUAGGAAGUUCCCUCUGCCUUCUGGCCUUACUGAAGCCCACUCAGUACCCUGCAGCCCUCUUAAGUGGAAUCUUUUUCCUCCCACUCCCCAUGUGCGGUGAGCCUAGAGCAGGGGUGUGUCCUUGCCUCUUCCUCAACCUCCUCACUUGGAACAGUCUGUCUUCACCUCUACCCCUCACAGCCAGGCAGGCAUAUCUCUUGUUACUGGUGAAGGCACUGCCUCCAAAGUCUGGAUUGAGGCAUCCCUCCCUCAGGCCAGGCCCUCCCUCAUGUGGCGCUUCCCUGUGCUCUUCAAACCACCAGGCCCUCCAAGCUCCUGGCCCAGCCCCUUUUCGCCAACCAUCAGCCCCUCUUUCCUUGCUUUCCUCCCAGCCCAGUUUAGAACUCUUGGUCAUCUGCAUGCACUUCCCAUAGUGCCCUCCAUCCUUCGUUUAUGCUCACCUGGCAAGGUCUCCACCCUGGUGACAGCCAGCUGUUCCUUCGCCUGCCCUGCACCUGCCUGAGCCCCCAGAGCCACAACGGCUCGCGUUCCAUCCAUGGCCCAGGUCUGUGUUUCCCUAGACAACUCCCUCAUGCAUUCUCUGAGGAAACUUAACAGCCUUUGUCUCUUCAGGCCUCCAGCACCCUCCCUGCCAGCUUAGCUAAGGCGCUCCCUUCUGUUCCCACAACCACCCCACAUUAGCUGCCUUCCUUACCCUACCUGAGGACAUGCCUCAGGUGUGUGGGAGAUACAGUGCUCUCAAGGGUCUUUCUUCUCCCC